rnacentral:rRNA from 1 species
UACGGAGGGUGCAAGCGUUAUCCGGAUUCACUGGGUUUAAAGGGCGCGUAGGAGGCCAGGUAAGUCAGUGGUGAAAUCCUAGAGCUUAACUCUAGAACUGCCGUUGAUACUAUCUGUCUUGAAUAUUGUGGAGGUGAGCGGAAUAUGUCAUGUAGCGGUGAAAUGCUUAGAUAUGACAUAGAACACCAAUUGCGAAGGCAGCUCGCUACACAUAUAUUGACUCUGAGGCACGAAAGCGUGGGGAUCAAACAGG